AGUGGGUGUAACGUACCUACUAGCCGACGACGGGUACGGGUUGUGAGAGCAAGAGCCCGGAGAUGGAUUCUGAGACAUGAAUCCAGGCCCUACGGGGCGCAGCAGGCGCGAAAACUUUACAAUGCGGGAAACCGCGAUAAGGGGACACUGAGUGCCAGCAUACAAUGUUGGCUGUCCGCAUGUAUAAAUAGCAUGUGUUAGCAAGGGCCGGGCAAGACCGGUGCCAGCCGCCGCGGUAACACCGGCGGCCCGAGUGGUGGCCACUAUUAUUGGGUCUAAAGGGUCCGUAGCCGGUUUGGUCAGUCUUCCGGGAAAUCUGACGGCUUAACCGUUAGGCUUUCGGGGGAUACUACCAGGCUUGGGACCGGGAGAGGUAAGAGGUACUACAGGGGUAGGAGUGAAAUCUUGUAAUCCUUGUGGGACCACCAGUGGCGAAGGCGUCUUACCAGAACGGGUUCGACGGUGAGGGACGAAAGCUGGGGGCACGAACCGGAUUAGAU
rnacentral:rRNA from 1 species